GAUAAACGCUGGCGGCGUGCAUGAGACAUGCAAGUCGAACGAACGAGCUUGCUCGUUAGUGGCGAACGGCUGAGUAACGCGUAGGUGACCUGCCCUGAAGUGGGGGAUAACGGCCCGAAAGGGUUGCUAAUACCGCAUGUGGCGACGUGUUCGUUCACGUCAUCAAAGCCGCGAGGCGCUUCAGGAGGGGCCUGCGUCCGAUUAGCUCGUUGGUGGGGUAACGGCUCACCAAGGCGACGAUCGGUAGGUGGUCUGAGAGGACGAUCACCCAGACUGGGACUGAGACACGGCCCAGACUCCUACGGGAGGCAGCAGUCGGGAAUUUUGCUCAAUGGGGGAAACCCUGAAGCAGCAACGCCGCGUGCGGGAUGAAGGCCUUCGGGUUGUAAACCGCUUUUAUCAGGGACGAUGAUGACGGUACCUGAUGAAUAAGUCACGGCUAACUACGUGCCAGCCGCCGCAGUAACAC
rnacentral:rRNA from 1 species